rnacentral:rRNA from 1 species
UACGUAGGGUCCGAGCGUUGUCCGGAAUUAUUGGGCGUAAAGAGCUCGUAGGCGGUCUGUCGCGUCGGCUGUGAAAUCCCGAGGCUCAACCUCGGGUCUGCAGUCGAUACGGGCAAACUAGAGUAUUGCAGGGGAGACUGGAAUUCCGGGUGUAGUGGUGAAAUGCGUAGAGAUCCGGAGGAACCCCAGAGGCGAAGGCGGCGUCCUGGCUCGCAUCUGACGCUCAGACACGACAGCAUGGGGAGCGAACGGG